GAUGAACGCUAGCGGCAGGCUUAAUACAUGCAAGUCGAGGGGUAACAGGGGUAGCAAUACCUGCUGACGACCGGCAAACGGGUGCGGAACACGUACGCAACCUUCCCAAAACUGGUGAAUAGCCCUCCGAAAGGAGGAUUAAUACACCGUAACAUAAUGAAGUGGCAUCACUUUAUUAUUAUAGCUCCGGCGGUUUUGGAUGGGCGUGCGCCUGAUUAGGUAGUUGGCGGGGUAACGGCCCACCAAGCCUGCGAUCAGUAACUGGUGUGAGAGCACGACCAGUCACACGGGCACUGAGACACGGGCCCGACUCUACGGGAGGCAGCAGUAAGGAAUAUUGGUUCAAUGGCGAAAGUCUGAACCAGCCAUGCCGCGUGAAGGAUGAAGGCCCUCUGGGUUGUAAACUUCUUUAUCUGGGACGAAAAACAGGGA
rnacentral:rRNA from 1 species